UUGUGGAGCCGCUUGUGUUGUUUUCGCGAUACCUGACCGGAAUAGGCUCUCGAACUAGCACAAAAGAAUUCAGAGGCUAUCUGGCAUUUAAAACACAAAAGAUUACUAAUGUCGCAUGUGUUACCAGGGCAAAUACUACGGUUGCCAAUAUUGGCAAGAUACGCGAGGGAGACCUAUUCCAGAAUGGUCGGAGACCUCCGCCAUAUCAGAUGCCUUAUGCAUUUGCCCAGUACUCCAUUGAUGUGCACAUAUUCAGUGUCAAGUGAGAGCUCAAGGCAUACAGAAAUAUUCCCAUGCCAGAGCCUGUAUGUGCAACGUCGGUUCAAAUCAAAGAGGUCCCGCAGGGCAAGUGUAAGUGCUGGUAGUGAGUCUGAAGAAUCUGAUGAUGAGGAAGAGGAAAAAUCCAAGGACUUCCAGGUCUUAAAAGGCCAUGCCAACUCUACCAGAAUAGAUGCUGUGCUUAAAUUUGGUCUGGGAAUGUCUAGAAACAAAGUGGACAAUGCAUUUUAUAGCAGCAGCAUCUACCUCAAUGGAGAGAAGCUGAUCAAGAAGAGCCAUCCUCUGACGGUGGAUGACGAAGUGGACGUGGUGCGCGGCGAGAACGCGCUGAACACGUCGUUCCUGGACGUCUCGCGGGUGCAGGUCCUCGACAUCCACCGUUCGCGGUCCGACCCGGACAAGCUGACUCUGAAGGUGCGGCGCUUUAAACAGCUCACCGUCGAAAACUACUCGUCGCCGUGGAAACCAAUUGCGUCGGAGUAAAUGAUCUGCACGUGCGCUGUAGUCGAAUGAUCAUUGUCCAAUGGUGAUACAGAGCUUGACGUGGCGACCGCGUAUGACACAUGCGCGUCCAUGAUAGCCCAUCCACCUCUGCUGAUUGAGUACGGCAAGGCGGCGGCCCUGCUGUACUCCAUCAGCAGAGAUGGUAUGCACGCUCUGUUUUGUCAUCUCUUUCAGCCUGCGCUGUAGUCUGGGUAACAAUGUAUAUAAUACAUCGGUGUACAUAAUUUCUGAAAGCGACUAUGAUCUCUCAGCGCACCUGGCCGAAAGACCAUUGUCCAGUGCUUCAGUAUUUCCCACUUGACUUUGUCAUCCAUUUAAGAGCAACUCGCAUUCUAAGUACACAGCUGUCCAAUGUUACAUUAGCACACGUAAGUAAUGUCAAUGGCUGUUUCCACACGUUAGAGGCUACAAAUGAACUAUUUGAAUGAAAUAUUGAACUGAAUGAAUGAAUGAACAA